UGAAAGAACAGUGUCUGGUACAUAAUAAG
rnacentral:piRNA from 1 species